GACGAACGCUGGCGGCGUGCUUAACACAUGCAAGUCGAACGGAAAGGCCCUGCUUUUGUGGGGUGCUCGAGUGGCGAACGGGUGAGUAACACGUGAGUAACCUGCCCUUGACUUUGGGAUAACUUCAGGAAACUGGGGCUAAUACCGGAUAGGAGCUCCUGCUGCAUGGUGGGGGUUGGAAAGUUUCGGCGGUUGGGGAUGGACUCGCGGCUUAUCAGCUUGUUGGUGGGGUAGUGGCUGACCAAGGCUUUGACGGGUCGCCGGCAUGAGAGGGUGACCGGCGACAUGGGGACUGAGAGAGGGCCCAGACUCCUACGGGAGGCAGCAGUGGGGAAUAUGGCACAAUGGGCGGAAGCCUGAGGCAGCAACGCCGCGGGCGGGAAGACGGCCUUCUGGGUGUAAACCGCUGUCGCCUGUGACGAAGCGUGAGUGACGGUAAUGGGUAAAGAAGCACCGGCUAACUACGUG
rnacentral:rRNA from 1 species